GAUGCGUUCUGUAGUUGUAUGGGACAACAUUCGAAGUGGGGGAGGAAGCAUCCGAAGGAAUGAAGGUGACAGGGGGCAAAAAACUCGGCAGUUUUCUGUAUUCAACAGAAAUGGAAGGUUUGAAGAAGAAUAGUUACAAUCGUACCUGUGAAGAAUUCAAAAAUUCCAUCCUCGACGAACAGCCCGCUCGAGCUGAAUAUUUUGAUGCCGAGAGAUGACGUGCAGUUUCACGUGAUCUUAUCUACCCCGCUGAUGGGAGUCAGAUUGGAAAAGCUAAGGAUCUGGACUGAUUGACCCUCACAACUCCCAAUCUUUCAGCAUGAAGUCUUAGGAUUACCAUACAGUAUAGAAAACGUAGUGGUUCUCGGGAACCAUGCAUGGAAUGGAAUCUGGGUCAUCUGGUGAAACAGUGGACUAGACAAACCACCAACCACAUGGGAUGUGUCUUCUUACCUGGUUGAGGUCUUAUGUCCAGGCAUAGUGAUAUGGUUUUGAAUGUGGGUUGUAUAAAAUUAUCUGCAGUGGUCUUCUAUCAUUUGUUAUUUUAUCAAUAUUCAUUAUAAAUUUCAGUAGAAUCAUUUUUGACAGGUGAAGCAUGCAGUUUCAAAAUAUAAAAGUAUUUCUCCAUAUGCUUUUGGAAGAAUUCCAUGGAAAUGUGUAGCAAUUAUUUUGAAUGUUCAUAUAUAAGUAAGUAAGCUUGUGUUGCAUGUGUACGAAUUUUAAAUGAAUAAAG